GUUUAUUUCAUUAAAUGGUAAUAUACAUUAUAUAUAUGUUCAUCCCUACUAGAAAUAAUAAUAGUUGAUGAACAUUGAUCUCUAAUAAUGAUAGUUCCUAAUGUUUUGAAAAUGAUAAUAAUAAUAUGCCCACAUCAUCAUCGAUGUCUCUCAUCCCUACUAGAAGUGGAUUGAUGCGAGCAGUUAGCAAGACGAGACGAGCUCCAUGGCAAGGUCACCGCGAUUGUAGGGUAUUUGAAUGGUGGGCUGGAUCCAUGUGCUUGACUUCCUUCUCUUGUUUAUUCUCCGCGAUGGAAUUUAUAUAUUGACAGUUUGAUUGGUAGCCACUAAAUAAUGCAGGUCAAUUUAAUUAAUCUGUCGCUAUGCUAGUGUGCGCGAAAGGAAAAUAUAGAUAUCUUACGUUGAAGAACAGGAGAAUAGAUAAGUAUGUUUAAAAUAUCUAUGGACUUCAAUAUUCAGUUACGAUGAUCAGUACGGGUAGGCCAAAAAUCAAGGGCACUAUGAUACAAUAAUAAGUGUUGACAAAUGGGGAAUAACUAACAGUGUGUUCCCUUGUCUCAUUACAUCACACACCAUCUACACAUAGCUGGACAAUUAUAGUAAAACGGUUCAACCCAUGAGAAGACUCUCACACAGUGCAGAUCAUUUGUUCCACCUUGUCUAACUACUGAAUUUGUGUAGCUCUCCACCAUGUGCACAUAAAUAAUGCAGCCAUCUCCUAAUUUUGUGUACUCGCAUGAAGAAUUACCGCUCCCACAAGGUUCUGGUUGUCUUAAAUCAUAAUCCUAUGAAGGUUGUGCUUUAGGUCACCAGUCAUGUCAAGAAUGACAUUGUAUUAUUAUCAUAUACUUGACCGGUGACUACUACCCUUGGACGGGCAAGCAAUGACCUCUCCUACCAAUGGUACCAUGGCAUGGGAGGACGAGGACCAAUCGCACUUGAUAAAAGAGACACCAAAUAGGACAAUAUUCUCUAUUGUGAUAUCUUUCUCAUUAACUUUUGUCUUGACACUAUAUUAUAUGUCAUAUUAUUAUUUUAUUAUAUAUAUAUACGCGUUGUAUCCCCGUAUGGCUGUUUUGGAAAAUGUUGUAUCCUUUGCCCCCGUAUGUGUAUCCCGGUCUUUCUGUCCUCGUCUGCGUGCUUUUUAGAUUCUGAAAACUAUAUUAUUUGCAUUGCUAACAUAUACUGGUAUAUAUUUCGGAUCACACGCUACUUAUUUACAUCAUAAAAUAAUUUGGCAUGUUUAUGUUUUAUACGCUCGCAUAUGUGCCAGCUUACAUCCAUAUUUGUUAUGCCUUAUGCAGAAACUACUGGAUACUUUACAUUAAGCUAGACCAAGUAUGUCCCUUAUUGCUUCAAACAUUAGUUCUUCUCCUGUUGUUAUUUGUUAUUAUACCUGGCAAUAGAGCUUCAUUGGUUUCUUCAAAGGUGACAUGCCAUGAUAUAUUUUUUACUCUAUAGAGUGUGUACAGUUCUUCCCUCUUUUAUGACUAUUUGGUGCUUUUAUCCAACAAGGCAGUAAAUUAUUUUGCAGAGAACAAUGGCAGAAAAUAGCAUGGUUGACACCUUUUGUUGAUACGGAAGUUGAUGUUGGCAUGGCGAUUGAAAACUUGGUUUGUUUCAUAAUAUUUUGUAGUAGUCAAGUGAUCAAACAUUUGUUCUCUUAGGAUCUUACCAUCAAAUUGUGCAACUUGUCUUAUAUAUCAACUUAUGUAUUUCCUCGAUGGUUGUAGCUAACUUGAGCAAAGAAAACAAAUGAAUUUGUAUAUAUGUUGAAUGAAUGUAUGGAUGAAUGACAUCUUGUGAAGAA